rnacentral:rRNA from 1 species
UACGAAGGGGGCUAGCGUUGCUCGGAAUUACUGGGCGUAAAGCGUGCGCAGGCGGCUUCUCAAGUCAGGGGUGAAAGCCCAGAGCUCAACUCUGGAAUUGCCUUUGAGACUGAGUGGCUUGAGUACGAGAGAGGUGAGUGGAAUUCCCAGUGUAGAGGUGAAAUACGUAGAGAUUGGGAAGAACACCAGUGGCGAAGGCGGCUAUCUGGACGGUUUCUGACACUAAGACUCGAAAGCGUGGGGAGCAAACAGG